rnacentral:miRNA from 1 species
AUGUGAGUCACUUGAAGAUCUUUUUAAAAAUAUAGGUUUUAGAUCAGUGAAGCUUGAGGUCUGAGAUUCUGAAUUUUUGACAAGCUCACAAGUGAUGGCAAU